CACUACACACACAAAACUGUGCUUCCAUGCACUGUAGGAUUCAGGUCUAUCAUUGAAAUUGGUAUGUCUGGAGAACAGUAGAUCCUUCCUCAGAAGGAAUCGAGUGACGUCGGUCACAUGCGCUCCAUGUCCAGUCGCGUAAGGUGAUGAAGGGUAUGCGUUAGGUACGUAUGGUUGUGCAUACGGAUUUAGGAUAGGCGAAUCGGAAGGGAUGUGAGCUUGUGUAGAACCUGCAGGAAUAUGACCUGAUGGAGGCUGACUAGAAGCGAUGUGAUGAUUUGGACUAGAGUAGCUGUGCUUCAGUUUCAGGUUGUUGGCGUCAACCGGCGAAUCUGGUCGACACAGUACAGAUGAAAUAUGGCUGAUAGUUGAUUCAAAUGCCUGACAAUCUGCUUCAGUUUCUGCAGCUUGCCUUUCCAGAUUUAACAUUUCUAGUUCCGCAUCGAGUUCCAUUUUUUGCUGUUUACGGAGAGUUAUUUCUUUAGCUGUAUAGAACAUCCUGGCUUUCACUUUACUCACUUCAGCCCUCUUCCUUGCAAGGAUAUCUGAUGUCGGCACACAAGAAUCAAUAGAUUGUGAAUAAGUGCUUUGAUGUUCAUUUUCCAUGUCCUCCUCUUGCUCUUGAAUAACACUAAGUUCAACAUCUUCCCUUUGACUGUCAUCAGGUGAUAAUUCCUUUUCAGCAGACUGGAUGUCCACGGUGGAAUCUGGAAUGGAUGAUGCCACGGUCUGCUCUGUUGUUGUAGACAUGGUCUUUUUACUAUUCUGCCUCAAUAAGGACUCUCAGAUCAGCGUUUGAAAGUUUAUUUUAACAGACAGUUAACCAUCAAUGUGACAUGUGCACACAAUUACACGUGGUGCUCGUUCACCGUUGUGUGGAGUCAUACACAGUUUGUCAGCGUAAAUGUGGUAAAAA